rnacentral:rRNA from 1 species
UUGCACUGAUUUCAACAAUGAAGCGAGUGGCGAACUGGUGAGUAACGCGUGGGGAAUCUGCCCAGAAGCAGGGGAUAACACUUGGAAACAGGUGCUAAUACCGUAUAACAACUUGGACCGCAUGGUCCGAGUUUGAAAGAUGGCUUCGGCUAUCACUUUUGGAUGGUCCCGCGGCGUAUUAGUUAGUUGGUGAGGUAAAGGCCCACCAAGACGAUGAUACGUAGCCCGACCCUGAGAGGGUAAUCGGCCACAUUGGGACUGAGACACGGCCCAAACUCC